AGGCUGAGCUGUCACAAUGCCCAAAGCUGAGGCUGAAGCCAGAGCAGAAGACCCCCAGGCAGCUGAAGAGGACCUACCUGGCACUGGAGCGAGGUGUAACUGACAAUGCCAGGAGCUUGGCCCACGCCAGGAGAGCAGAGCACCAUCCACUCCAAACGGAGUGGCUGGGACAGCUGGGUGACUACAUUCUGGGCCAUCCCAUAGGCUGAGAGAGAGGAGAAAACUUCACGAGCGAUGCUGUGUCCUUUCUGGUGUAUUACAUCAUGAGGCACACGAUGUCUGAUCGUUCCACUUUUAGAGAUGUGAAAAUCGAUCACUGGGUUCAGAUCAAAAAGUCUGAAGCAGGCAGCUGUUAGUAUUUGUCCAGCAGCUCAUGAGGUCCAGAGCUAGUAUGGCUGUGAUUCUCUUGGCCUCUCCUUCAUGGCUGCAAGAUGGCAGCUCCUAUUCCAGGCAUCAUGCCCAGUCAGGGCAGGAAGAAAGGGGAAGGCCAGAGCCAGCUGCAGCUGUCCCUUCAUAGAAGAAAAGCAAAAGCUUUCCCCAAAACCCUCCACCCCCAGCUGAAUUCUACCCAGAUCUUAUUGGCCAGAUUGGAUCACAUGGUCACCCCUACUUGCAAGGGAGGUUGGGAAAGUGAUCCAUUAGUUUUGCUGGUCUCUAUAGCCCAGGCAGGCGAGGGAGUGUGAGUUGGGAGUGAAAAUAGGGCUGCUAUUUCUGGGAGAGUGGUCUUGAGUCCUGAAUCAACUCCCUAUUCUGCCUUUAUUUUUUAUUUUCAUGUAUCUAACACUCCUUGGUUUUGAAGCUGGGUGGGACAGUUAAAAAGAACUACGAGCUGGAAAUGAGUAAAGCUUUUUUUGCAAGACUGCCCUAAGGAAAUAAGUGUCAGCUGUUUUAACAUCCAUGCCCUGAUGGCUCAGCUUGGCUCUGCUCAGUUAUCAGAUGCCAACUCCAGAUGAGGCCUGCGCUGCCAAGCGUCUUGUCUCCUCCUGUCUGGAAGGGAACAGAUCAGUCUCACCUUCAUCAAGACCGAUACCUCAUUUGAGCUGUGUGAUUCCAUAUGAGGUCAGAAUACCUCGUGGCCACAGCUUCACCAGAGGCCACCCAACCUUCACACUGUUAUGGCAAAGAGCAGUGCUAACAUUUAGCCAGCACUCUGUACUGACGUUAAAACACUGAGCUGAUUCUGUACUGACUGCUACACAGCUGCUACCUGAAGCCCGAGUCCUGUUGCCUUGGAACCUCUGAGGAACCCACUCACGCUGCCCAAAACCACCUUACGAUCCAGCAACUGAAGGCUCAGGCCCUGCCUAGCAGGGGCCCUAAGAUGCUACUCCACACAGCACUAGGGCCAUCGAUUCUUCCAUACAUUUAGUGCUCAUGCAACUCGGAUUUUAAAAUAUUUUAAUAUCUCCCAUGGGGAGCAC
rnacentral:lncRNA from 1 species